rnacentral:lncRNA from 1 species
GGCAGAAAGGCACCUGCCAAGAUUAUAGUAUAUAAGCCACUGAAUCAUGCAAAAAUAUUUACCCCCAAAAGUUGUAGUAAAAGCUCAGCUUCCUCCAGCCUCCAUAGCCCCUGAAGUGUUAAUCUGAAGAAACAGUUCCAUGAGUUUCCACAGGCCAGCAGUGAGUCUCCUACACUUGACCUAGACAGCCUUACAUAACGAAGCAUCAGUGCUGGGGAGCUUGCUGAAUGUCAUCACUAGCAAGAACAAGAAGUAUUGGCAGCAGCAGGCAGGCAGGCAGGCUGGGAGUUUGCAUGGAAAUCAUGAAUUCUUUCUUGCCUUUCUCUUUUGAAAUGCUUUGGAAGGAGAGUUAAGAAUAGCGCAGAAAGUGGACUCUCUCUCUCUCUCUCUCUCUCUCUCUCUCUCUCUCAGAAUGAUCUGAAGCAUAAAAGCUAAAUCUUUCAGCAAGUGCAAGAUGCUUCCUUGAUAUUUGCAGUAAACCUACCAGGAUGAAUUGCUGCCUUUAAGGUCCUAUACCAUAUCACCCAAAAUGAAGGGAAUGGCACUGAAUGUAAUAGCACAAAGGAUGCCACCGAGAGCUUUUGCCUACCUUUAACUCAUUGUGGCAAAGUUGGACAUUCCAAAGAUGGCGUAGAUGAACAUGACCAGGAAGAGCAGGAGGCCGAUGUUAAACAAGGCAGGAAGGGACAUCAUCAAAGCGAAGAGCAGCGUGCGGAUCCCCUUGGCUCCUUUGAUCAGACGGAGGAUUCGGCCGAUCCUGGCAAGACGGAUCACUCGGAACAGGAGAAGAAGGAAUACAUGAAAACAUUUAGAAGAAAAAACAAGCAUUACGUACCCCGAAUCUGGGCUGAAACCACAAAGGAGAGCAUCUUUGGAUCCCUCCAAGCAAAGUUGUACAUUCCAAAGAUGGCGUAGAUGAACAUGACCAGGAAGAUGAGAAGACUGAUGUUCAACAGUGCUGGGAGGGACAGCAUCAGAGGGAGCAUCAGAUCACGGAACACCUUUGGCCCUUUCCCAAGACGCAGGAUGUGGAUGAUGCGAGAGAGAAGUACCAGUUGCACAAGUGUAGGGGGCACCAAGUAGUAUCCCACUGUCAUAGGCAGAAGCAGUCCUGGUUAAAGAGAAAAGAGUCAAGAAAAUUAUCCACAUGUAAUGAUGUUUAGAGGAACAUGCUAUUUUAUACUUAAGUGGUUGUUUCUAGAUUUUAAUUUUUAUUAAUGCC